rnacentral:rRNA from 1 species
AGGGUUUGAUCAUGGCUCAGAACGUACGCUGGCGGCACGCCUAACACAUGCAAGUCGAACGAAGUAGCAAUACUUAGUGGCAGACGGGUGAGUAACAUGUAGGUAUCUACCCUUUGGCCUGGAAUAACACGAGGAAACUUGUGCUAAUACCGGAUAAGUCUUUACGGAGAAAGCUUUAUGCACCAUUGGAUGAGCCUGCACUUGAUUAGUUUGUUGGUAGGGUAAUGGCCUACCAAGACUUUGAUCAAUAGCUGAUUUGAGAGGAUGAUCAGCCACAUUGGGACUGAGACACGGCCCAAACUCCUACGGGAGGCAGCAGUGGGGAAUCUUGCACAAUGGAGGAAACUCUGAUGCAGCGAUGCCGCGUGAGUGAAGAAGGCCUUUGGGUUGUAAAGCUCUUUCGUCGGGGAAGAAAAUGACUGUACCCGAAUAAGAAGGUCCGGCUAACUUCGUGCCAGCAGCCGCGGUAAUACGAAGGGACCUAGCGUAGUUCGGAAUUACUGGGCUUAAAGAGUUCGUAGGUGGUUGAAAAAGUUGGUGGUGAAAUCCCAGAGCUUAACUCUGGAACUGCCAUCAAAACUUUUCAGCUAGAGUUUGAUAGAGGAAAGCAGAAUUUCUAGUGUAGAGGUGAAAUUCGUAGAUAUUAGAAAGAAUACCAAUUGCGAAGGCAGCUUUCUGGAUCAUUACUGACACUGAGGAACGAAAGCAUGGGUAGCGAAGAGGAUUAGAUACCCUCGUAGUCCAUGCCGUAAACGAUGUGUGUUAGACGUUGGAAAUUUAUUUUUCAGUGUCGCAGCGAAAGCGAUAAACACACCGCCUGGGGAGUACGACCGCAAGGUUAAAACUCAAAUGAAUUGACGGGGACCCGCACAAGUAGUGGAGCAUGUGGUUUAAUUCGAAGAUACGCGCAGAACCUUACCAACACUUGACAUGUUCGUCGCGACUUUAAGAGAUUAAAGUUUUCGGUUCGGCCGGACGAAACACAGGUGCUGCAUGGCUGUCGUCAGCUCGUGUCGUGAGAUGUUGGGUUAAGUCCCGCAACGAGCGCAACCCUCACUUUUAGUUGCCAUCAUUAAGUUGGGCACUCUGAAAGAACUGCCAGUGAUAAGCUGGAGGAAGGUGGGGAUGACGUCAAGUCCUCAUGGCCCUUACGUGUUGGGCUACACACGUGCUACAAUGGUAUUUACAAAAGGAAGCAAAACGGCGACGUUUAGCAAAUCCUAAAAAAAUACCUCAGUUCGGAUUGCACUCUGCAACUCGAGUGCAUGAAGCUGGAAUUACUAGUAAUCGUGGAUCAGCGUGCCACGGUGAAUGCGUUCCCGGGUCUUGUACACACCGCCCGUCACACCAUGGGAGUUGGUUCUACCUUAAGGCAAGGUUUAAAACCCUUGACCACGGUAUAGUCAGCGACUGGGGUGAAGUCAUAACAAGGUAACCGUA